GCUUGUCUCAAAGAUUAAGCCAUGCAUGUCUAAGGAUAANCAUUAUACAGCGAAACUGCGAAUGGCUCAUUAUAUAAGUAUCGUUUAUUUGAUAGUACCUUACUACUUGNAUACCCGUGGUAAUUCUAGAGCUAAUACAUGCUAAAAUCCCGACUUCGGAAGGGAUGAUUUAUUAGAUUAAAACCAAUGCCCUCUGGGCUCCUUGGUGAUUCAUAAUAACUUUUCGAAUCGCAUGGCCUUGCGCCGGCGAUGGUUCAUUCAAAUUUCUUCCCUAUCAACUUUCGAUGUUUGGGUAUUGGCCAAACAUGGUCGCAACGGGUAACGGAGGGUUAGGGCUCGACCCCGGAGAAGGAGCCUGAGAAACGGCUACUACAUCCAAGGAAGGCAGCAGGCGCGCAAAUUACCCAAUCCCGAUUCGGGGAGGUAGUGACAAUAAAUACUGAUACAGGGCUCUUUUGGGUCUUGUAAUUGGAAUGAGUACAAUUUAAAUCCCUUAACGAGGAACAAUUGGAGGGCAAGUCUGGUGCCAGCAGCCGCGGUAAUUCCAGCUCCAAUAGCGUAAAGUUGUUGUGGUUAAAAAGCUCGUAGUUGAACCUUGGGCCUGGCUGGCCGGUCCGCCUCACCGCGUGUACUGGUCCGGCCGGGCCUUUCCCUCUGUGGAACCUCAUGCCCUUCACUGGGUGUGGCGGGGAAACAGGACUUUUACUUUGAAAAAAUUAGAGUGCUCCAGGCAGGCCUAUGCUCGAAUACAUUAGCAUGGAAUAAUGAAAUAGGACGUGUGGUUCUAUUUUGUUGGUUUCUAGGACCGCCGUAAUGAUUAAUAGGGACAGUCGGGGGCAUCAGUAUUCAAUUGUCAGAGGUGAAAUUCUUGGAUUUAUUGAAGACUAACUACUGCGAAAGCAUUUGCCAAGGAUGUUUUCAUUAAUCAGGAACGAAAGUUAGGGGAUCGAAGACGAUCAGAUACCGCGUAGUCUUAACCAUAAACUAUGCCGCCUAGGGAUCGGACGAUGUUAUUUUUGACCCCGUUCGCACCUUACGAGAAAUCAAAGUGCUUGG
rnacentral:rRNA from 1 species